GAAUUUGAAGCAAUAAUAAUAGCAAUUAGUUUCGACCUAAUUAUAGGUAAAUUACCCUUAUUCU
rnacentral:tRNA from 1 species